GAUGAACGCUGGCGGCGUGCUUAACACAUGCAAGUCGAACGGACGAUUUUUGAUUGCUUGCAAUUUUAAAUUUAGUUAGUGGCGGACGGGUGGAGUAACGCGUGGGUAACCGUGCCUCAUACAGGGGGAGUAACAGUCAGAAAUAGACUGCUAAUACCGCAUAAGCGCACAGCAUCGCAUGAUGCAGUGUGGAAAACUACCGGUGGUAUGAGAUGGACCCGCGUUGGAUUAGCUAGUUGGCAGGGUAGAGGCCUACCAAGGCGACGAUCCAUAGCCGGCCUGAGAGGGUGAACGGCCACAUUGGGACUGAGACACGGCCCAA
rnacentral:rRNA from 1 species